rnacentral:rRNA from 1 species
UACAGAGGUGGCAAGCGUUGUUCGGAAUUACUGGGCGUAAAGGGCGCGUAGGCGGACUUGCAAGUCCUGUGUGAAAUCCCUCGGCUCAACUGAGGAACUGCACAGGAAACUGCUUGGCUUGAGUUCGGGAGAGGGAAGCGGAAUUCCGGGUGUAGCGGUGAAAUGCGUAGAUAUCCGGAGGAACACCGGUGGCGAAGGCGGCUUCCUGGACCGACACUGACGCUGAGGCGCGAAAGCUAGGGGAGCAAACAGG